AACAUUUAUUUGUAUAAAAGGAAAUGACAAAUGCUAAAAUGACAUUAAAAUGGUUGUUCAUGUCGCACGUGGUGGAAUGCAGUUUGUAAAUAAUGAUCCGGCGCCAAUACAACAUUUACCCUUGGACCAUUGUCACUUUUUUUUUAAGCAUGUAAUAUAAUCUCAUUUUUUACUCCAACGAUUACUAAGAAGUUCUGCGACAAAAAAAAAGUAAAGUCCUGGCGCCAGCGUUUGGAUUUCAUACUUAGGUUACUUGAACGCGAAACAAGAUGCAGCGAAAAUAAAUAAAAAGGUAUGAAUAAAUAAAAUGUGAAGCAAAGGAAGAGGCGAACUGAGAAAAUGAAUAAAAAAAUUAUAAAAGAUUGUCGACCGCCCACCUAAUAACACCUCCCGAACGACGUUUAAUGGAAUACAAGAGCAAAUUCGAUGCACAUCCACCUCGCUAUGCAAAGUAACUUAAAAGAAAAAAAUUUUUUUUUUUUUUUCAACAAGUAAACGAGGGUAUCAUAUCCCUGAGAAAUUCACACCUCAUUUAUGCGCUUUGAGAUUAUAUCACCGAUGUAUAUCGUUAUUUACAAUAAUAACAAACAUAUAGAAAAAAAAAUAUUCAAGUAAAAUUAACACUCUGCGUAUAAUAUGGAUCACGCGAGGUUCCGGCUUUAACAAAAUACCGGAUUUAUUAUCGCUCUCACCUCAUGUGUAACUCUUCGACGAGAGCUUUAAUGCUCGUUUUUUCUCAUACAAAUGAAGAAGAAAAACGAGUAAAAAGUACUGAAGAAUCUCGACAGUUCGCGUGGCGGUUUACUAUACUGCAAACUUUAUUCUAUCAUCAUUUAAGGAAGAAACUCCAAAAAUUAGUGCAAGCAAAUAUUGAAAAGCUAAUAUAAGCGAAACCCUGAACAGAAUACACAUUUGAGUGGUCCAGAGUGGGGAUUAUUGAGAGUUAGUACCUUGUGAAGAAGAUUCAAACACGGUAAAGUCUUUUACUCUUUUACGGAAUAGUCUACAAGGUGGAUUUUAACCAGUUUCUCU